rnacentral:rRNA from 1 species
UGGGGAAUAUUGGACAAUGGGCACAAGCCUGAUCCAGCCAUGCCGCGUGAGUGAAGAAGGCCUUCGGGUUGUAAAGCUCUUUUUACCAGGGACGAUAAUGACGGUACCUGGAGAAUAAGCCCCGGCAAACUUCGUGCCAGCAGCCGCGGUAAUACGAAGGGGGCUAGCGUUGUUCGGAAUUACUGGGCGUAAAGCGCACGUAGGCUGAUUGUUAAGUCAGGGGUGAAAUCCCAGAGCUCAACUCUGGAACUGCCCUUGAUACUGGCGAUCUCGAGUCCGGAAGAGGUUAGUGGAAUUCCCAGUGUAGAGGUGAAAUUCGUAGAUAUUGGGAAGAACACCGGUGGCGAAGGCGGCUAACUGGUCCGGUACUGACGCUGAGGUGCGAAAGCGUGGGGAGCAAACAGGAUUAGAUACCCCCGUAGUCCCUGAGCGGGCUGGCAAGGCGCAU